rnacentral:rRNA from 1 species
UGCCCAACAGCUAGCCCUUUAAUAACUUCAACAUCCCCCUAUUAAUACCCCCUAAAUACCCCCGUAUUAACUUUAAACAAAUCAUUUUUCCCCCUUAGUAUAGGC